CGUGUAGGCGGCUGGAUAAGUCAGAUGUGAAAGCCCUGGGCUUAACCUAGGAAGUGCAUUUGAAACUGUUCAGCUUGAGUAGGGGAGAGGAAAGUGGAAUUCCUGGUGUAGAGGUGAAAUUCGUAGAUAUCAGGAGGAACACCGGUGGCGAAGGCGACUUUCUGGCCCUAUACUGACGCUGAGACGCGAGAGCGUGGGUAGCAAACAG
rnacentral:rRNA from 1 species